UACAGAGGUCUCAAGCGUUGUUCGGAUUCAUUGGGCGUAAAGGGUGCGUAGGUGGCGCCGUAAGUCGGGUGUGAAAUUUCGGAGCUUAACUCCGAAACUGCAUUCGAUACUGCGGUGCUUGAGGACUGGGGAGGAGACUGGAAUUCAUGGUGUAGCAGUGAAAUGCGUAGAGAUCAUGAGGAAGACCAGUGGCGAAGGCGGGUCUCUGGACAGUUCCUGACACUGAGGCACGAAGGCCAGGGGAGCAAACGGG
rnacentral:rRNA from 1 species